UGGUGGCGAGGCUUUUCCGGCCUCCUAAUAAAGCUUCAGGUUUAAAUUAAGCGUGUGCUGUGUCCAGGCGCCAUUGCUGUACUGCAUACCCUGGGGCCGGGUUUCCCAUGGAAGCAAGGCUUAAACAAUUGUACUCUCCGUUGGUUUUGAUCCUCGGUUAGCUUUUGGACCAAUUGGCUGCUUUGAUCAAACUGAACAGAAAUGUGGAUAAAUAAAUCAUUUCAGGUUUCGUGGUUAACAGGUGGCCAGAUAGAGCAGAAGCACUCUGAUGGGGGACGAUGUUGUAGUUGAAAUUCAUACUUCACUAGACACCAAAGAAUUAACAUGGGGAAAAAAGACUUGAUAUAAAUGCCUCCAUGGUAAAUAUCCUUCAGCCUUUGGUGCGCACACCUUCUGAUGCACUAAUCAUUCACAAACCAUGAGUCAGCAGAAAAUCAGUCUCACUUAGUUCUGAUAUUUGGUAAACUAACUUUUUAUUUGACUGCAAUUCUAUUUUCUGGCUUUAUGUGGUAUUAGCCUAGUGUUUUACAACCCCAGUAACGCUCAAAGCACUGAUCGUACAGACCUAAUCAGGCUACUUGUUUGUGUAAUAUUAACUAUAUUUGUCUUUGCACACUUGAUCUUCAGAAUUAGUUUACCUCAGUUUAGAUACUUAAAUUUGGAUUUAUUGCCUUACUCAUUUUGAAAAACAUUUUUAUAAGUGUGGAGUUGUUUCUCUGCUAAUUAACCUCCUCUCGGUUAAUGAAGAAAAUGGAUUAUUUUUGUUUUGUUUUUCAGUUCAUGCAAAAAUGUGAACCAGGUCUUGGAGAGACUAAAGAAUGAUGCUAUGUUUUGAUGGUUUAGCUGUCUGUAAAUAAGGAGUGAUCAGAACCUUGUCUAAAGCCUACAGCUCAGAUCUGAAAAGGAGCAACACUGAAGUACUCCCAUGUUAAACAAAAUCAAUAAUGCUGAAUUUAGCAGAUGAUGAUUUCCAUAGCAACCAGUGCUCAUAUAACAAAUUCAGGAUGAUACUGUAUAAUGACUGGAGAAUCGAGCACAAGAAGAUGCUGUCAAAUGAGGCACAACCCUGCUUGGAUUUUUCCUUUAGGCUGUGCAGUAUCUCAAAGUGGACCAGUGGCAAAAAAUCUGUAGUGGCAUCUCAGAGUUCCUCAGUUGCUGGGUAUUUCUCACACUGUGGUUAGAUAAUUUGAAUAAAGGUUUUAUUUAAACUUCAAAGUGUCUGUGCUAGACCUAAGAAAAAGGUCCUUCUAGCAAAAUUUAUCUCUGCAGCUUUCUGUAACGGAUGCCUUCCAUAAUGGAAGAGUGUAAGAGUUGGAGAAGUAUGCGAUGUUACAUUUCCAGAUUACUCUGGACUCUAGGAAUUACUGACAAGGGAUUUCUUUGCAAAUAACAGGCCCAGGUGGAUUUUUGUUUAAUUAGUUUUCCAGUCAUCUUUGGGCCAAAAAUCCUGUCUCCACAGUAUUUUGCUGCAAGGAGUUCCAUGGCUGAACAAGUUGCUUUAUGAGAACAAGCAUUUUGUUUAUGUUAAAUCGGCCACAUCCUGGGUUUUGUAUUGGGAGAGCCUGUGAAUGAUUUAUUCAGUGUCCCGGAUGUCUAGUUUCCAGAGGUAGGAUUUAUAUACUAGAGGAUUAUAGGCUAGGAUUUUGAAUUUGAGCCAAAUGCUUUCUUUUGUGCCCUCCCCUAGGGUAGAUAUUCCUCACUGAUUUCUGUGAAGUUACUCAAAUGUUUAAAAUUAAUGAGUUGUAAAAUUUGUACAUAUACAGGAGGGAAAACAAAUGUAGAUGUUUGCAAGUAUUAUAGAGCCUUUUAAUAGGUCGCUACAAAAUGUUGUUUAAUUGAAGUAGUAGAUGACUGAAUUAAAAUUAAAUUGACUGGAAUCUGAAUAAAGCACAUAUAAACAAACAGUUAUGCUAUCGUAACAAUGUAGGGUUUAAAAUAGCCACUGGAGGGCUCACUAAUUUCAUGUUAAAUGCCAAGCUGGUCUUUGUAAGCCAGUACUUGCAGUUUUUGGCUAAGACUGUAUUAAUUGCUGCACUAGCCAUUUGAAGAAGACUGGUUGAUAACAAAAUCUUUGCAGAUAAUGGGCAGAGAGCACUUACAUGUUCAUCUCAAAGAAUAACACUCUUGUGAUUAAUACCUGUGUCACGGUGUGGGAACAUUUAAAAAGGUUUGAAAGGUAGGAGGAUCUAAAUGUCAUAGAAUAAACAUAAAGGACCAGAUUUCCCACCCCCUUACCAUAAAAAUCUAAAAAGUCAUCCUGUCAGGCAGCAGGGUUUCCCCAUUUUGAAGAGCCACCCACACACACCUGGCAGAUUUUCCCCUCCCUCUUCUGUUCUGCAGGUGACACGGAAGCCUCAGCGAUGAUUCAGGCCCAGGGCUGUGGCCUUCUUGGACUGCUGAUAGAGCUGGGGUCAAAUGCAACACAUCUCAUUGGUGUCAGUUUCUCCUGACAUUAUGAAUCAAGUCUUUGAUUGCAGUUAAGAAGAACUUAGCUUUAAA